rnacentral:misc_RNA from 1 species
AAACAACUAAAACAGGUCGAUAAACAGAGGAACUAAAAGGGAUAUGAUAAGAUAAAAGAAAAACAAAAAUCAAAAAAACUAAAACAUAAAACAAAAGACCUUACAGAGAAAAAAUAAACAAGAGCUGAUAUUGAAGAUGGUCUCAAAAUCCUUUUCCUCUUACGACGUUGCUCUGAAGAAUCCAUUUUUUUUUUUGCAGAUUUUUGGAUCUAUAAGCAAAAGGGGUGUUAAAGAUUGGUUCUUUUUGCAGAUCUAACAAAGAAAAAAUUGAAUUUGAAGGAGUUUUUGGUUGUUUUUGCUGGUUUUUUG